AGAGUUUGAUCCUGGCUCAGGAUGAACGCUAGCUACAGGCUUAACACAUGCAAGUCGAGGGGAAACGACAUCGAAAGCUUGCUUUUGAUGGGCGUCGACCGGCGCACGGGUGAGUAACGCGUAUCCAACCUGCCCACCACUUGGGGAUAACCUUGCGAAAGUAAGACUAAUACCCAAUGAUAUCUCUAGAAGACAUCUGAAAGAGAUUAAAGAUUUAUCGGUGAUGGGUGGGGAUGCGUCUGAUUAGCUUGUUGGCGGGGUAACGGCCACCAAGGCGACGAGUCAGUAGGGGUUCUGAGAGGAAGGUCCCCCACAUUGGAACUGAGACACGGUCCAAACUCCUACGGGAGCA
rnacentral:rRNA from 1 species